rnacentral:rRNA from 1 species
GGCUCAGGAUGAACGCUAGCUACAGGCUUAACACAUGCAAGUCGAGGGGCAGCAUUGGGAUAGCUUGCUAUCCAGAUGGCGACCGGCGCACGGGUGAGUAACGCGUAUCCAACCUUCCCUAUAGUAGAGAAUAGCCCGGCGAAAGUCGGAUUAAUGCUCUAUGUUGUGUUUUGAGGACAUCUGACGAACACCAAAGGUUCACCGCUAUAGGAUGGGGAUGCGUCUGAUUAGCUUGUUGGCGGGGUAACGGCCCACCAAGGCGACGAUCAGUAGGGGUUCUGAGAGGAAGGUCCCCCACAUUGGUACUGAGACACGGACCAAACUCCUACGGGAGGCAGCAGUGAGGAAUAUUGGUCAAUGGGCGAGAGCCUGAACCAGCCAAGUAGCGUGCAGGAAUGACUGCCCUAUGGGUUGUAAACUGCUUUUAUCAGGGAAUAAAGUGCGGCACGUGUGCCGUUUUGUAUGUACCUGAUGAAUAAGGACCGGCUAAUUCCGUGCCAGCCGCGGC